GGGGAAUAUUGCGCAAUGGAGAAGAACUCUGACGCAGCAAUACCGCGUGAAUGACGAAGGCCUUCGGGUCGUAAAAUUCUGUUAUUGGGGAAGAAAGAAAUGACGGUACCCAAUGAGCAAGUCCCGGCUAACUACGUGCCAGCAGCCGCGGUAAUACGUAGGGGACAAGCGUUGUCCGGAAUCACUGGGCGUAAAGGGCACGCAGGCGGUCUAUCAAGCAGGAUGUGAAAGGCAGGAGCUCAACUCCUUGCACGGCAACCUGAACUGACAGACUAGAGUAUUGGAGAGGCAGGCAGAAUUCCUGGUGUAGCGGUGAAAUGCGUAGAGAUCAGGAGGAAUACCGGAGGCGAAGGCGGCCUGCUGGACAAAUACUGACGCUGAGGUGCGAAAGCGUGGGGAGCAAAC
rnacentral:rRNA from 1 species